rnacentral:misc_RNA from 1 species
GAUGAAGAACGUAGCGAAAUGCGAUAAGUAAUGUGAAUUGCAGAAUUCAGUGAAUCAUCGAAUCUUUGAACGCACAUUGCGCCCCUUGGUAUUCCGGGGGGCAUGCCUGUUCGAGCGUCAUUAUAACCCCUCAAGCUCAGCUUGGUGUUGGGGCCUGCCGACUGGCAGCCCUUAAAAUCAGUGGCGGCGCCAUCUGGCUCUAAGCGUAGUAAUUUCUCUCGCUAUAGAGUCCCGGUGGAUGCUUGCCAGCAACCCCCAACUUUCUAUGGUUGACCUCGGAUCAGGUAUGGAUACCCGCUGAACUUAAGCAUAUCAAUAAGCGGAGGA